GCCGCUCUUCUUCUUUCUGCCGCCGCCCACCACCCUUCGCUCUUCUUCUUUCUGCCGCCGCCCACCACCCUUCGCUCUUCUUCUUUCUGCCGCCGCCCACCACCCUUCCUUCUCUCUUUUUCACUUUUCUUCCUUAAGCCGCUGCCACCCAACACUCACGGUCCUGCAGCCGAUUGUUUCCCACACUGUUUCGCACCCCUUCCCACAUCAGAAAACCUCCGCCCAGCACCCACAUCGCCGCCGCGAGGGAAUGAAAUUGUCGUUGCCAAAACUGGCCUCAAGAGGGUUAGACGCAGAAAAGGUUCAACGCCUAUGUAGGAGGAAGGCUCAGUAAGUUCGAGGGGAGUCGGAUCGUCAUUGAUUAGGAAACGCCAAGAAAGCAGCUCUUCAGGUAAAGCUGUGGCACGGAGGUGACGAGUAGGAUGCCAAAGUCAGUCACAAGGCGAUUCAAGGAUUUUUAUGUUUUUUUUUGUAGUCUCAUUUUGUGGGAGAGACGUUUCCGCACUUUUGUUAUUAAUUUAAACUAUGUUGUCGAUGCCUAGUUUGUGGGAACUAGGCGGCCGCAUCAGACUUCCUUUUGAUUUUAAAUUUUCUCUUUGUUUUAAAUGGCUUUAGACGGCAUUGUUUUUUUA